AUACGGAGGGGGCUAGCGUUGUUCGGAAUUACUGGGCGUAAAGGGCGCGUAGGCGGACUAUCAAGUCAGGGGUGAAAGGCCUGGGCUCAACCCGGGAACUGCCUUUGAAACUGAAAGUCUAGAGACCGAGAGAGGAUAGCGGAAUUCCCAGUGUAGAGGUGAAAUUCGUAGAUAUUGGGAAGAACACCAGUGGCGAAGGCGGCUAUCUGGCUCGGUACUGACGCUGAGGCGCGAAAGCGUGGGGAGCAAACAGGAUUAGAAACCCCAGUAGUCC
rnacentral:rRNA from 1 species